rnacentral:rRNA from 1 species
UACGUAGGGUGCAAGCGUUAAUCGGAAUUACUGGGCGUAAAGCGUGCGUAGGUGGUCUUUUAAGUCGGAUGUGAAAUCCCUGAGCUUAACUUAGGAAUUGCAUUCGAUACUGGGAAGCUAGAGUAUGGGAGAGGAUGGUAGAAUUCCAGGUGUAGCGGUGAAAUGCGUAGAGAUUUGGAGGAACACCAGUGGCGAAGGCGACUAUCUGGUCUGUAACUGACACUGAGGCGCGAAAGCGUGGGGAGCAAACAGG